rnacentral:rRNA from 1 species
GACGAACGCUGGCGGCGUGCUUAACACAUGCAAGUCGAGCGGUAAGGCUCCUUCGGGAGUACACGAGCGGCGAACGGGUGAGUAACACGUGAGCAAUCUGCCCUUCUCAUCGGAAUAAGCGUUGGAAACGACGUCUAAUGCCGAAUAUGACCUCCUUUCACAUGAUCGGAGGUGGAAAGCUCCGGCGGAGAAGGAUGAGCUCGCGGCCUAUCAGCUUGUUGGUGAGGUAACGGCUCACCAAGGCGACGACGGGUAGCCGGCCUGAGAGGGUGACCGGCCACACUGGGACUGAGACACGGCCCAGACUCCUACGGGAGGCAGCAGUGGGGAAUAUUGGACAAUGGGCGAAAGCCUGAUCCAGCAACGCCGCGUGAGGGAUGACGGCCUUCGGGUUGUAAACCUCUUUCAGCAGGGACGAAGCGAAAGUGACGGUACCUGCAGAAGAAGGACCGGCCAACUACGUGCCAGCAGCCGCCGUAACAC